CCUGGGAACUGCGUUNUGAACUGGGUGACUAGAGUGUGUCAGAGGGAGGUAGAAUUCCACGUGUAGCAGUGAAANGCGUAGAGAUGUGGAGGAAUACCGAUGGNGAAGGCAGCCUCCUGGGAUAACACUGACGUUCAUGCCCGAAAGCGUGGGUAGCAAACAGGAUUAGAUACCCUGGUAGUCCACGCCCUAAACGAUGUCGAUUAGCUGUUGGGCAGCAUGACUGCUUAGUAGCGAAGCUAACGCGUGAAAUCGACCGCCUGGGGAGUACGGUCGCAAGAUUAAAACUCAAAGGAAUUGACGGGGACCCGCACAAGCGGUGGAUGAUGUGGAUUAAUUCGAUGCAACGCGAAGAACCUUACCUGGUCUUGACAUGUACGGAACCCUCCAGAGACGGAGGGGUGCCUUCGGGAGCCGUAACACAGGUGCUGCAUGGCUGUCGUCAGCUCGUGUCGUGAGAUGUUGGGUUAAGUCCCGCAACGAGCGCAACCCUUGUCGUUAGUUGCCAUCAUUAAGUUGGGCACUCUAAUGAGACUGCCGGUGACAAGCCGGAGGAAGGUGGGGAUGACGUCAAGUCCUCAUGGCCCUUAUGACCAGGGCUUCACACGUCAUACAAUGGUCGGUACAGAGGGUAGCCAAGCCGCGAGGUGGAGCCAAUCUCACAAAACCGAUCGUAGUCCGGAUUGCACUCUGCAACUCGAGUGCAUGAAGUCGGAAUCGCUAGUAAUCGCAGGUCAGCAUACUGCGGUGAAUACGUUCCCGGGUCUUGUACACACCGCCCGUCACACCAUGGGAGUGGGGGAUACCAGAAGUAGGU
rnacentral:rRNA from 1 species